AUCUGACUUAUGUUGCUGCUUUGCGACUGGCAAUAAUAUCAGUCUUUACAUUCAUAUUUGUUGUACUCAUGGGUAUACUUCACAAUAUUAUUUGCAUUGGCUUCUAAAAUACCUACUGAGGCUACUUAAUCAGCCACUGUUGCAAAUCUAUUGGGAUUGUGUAGGCUUUUUGGAUGGUUCCGAUGCAAUCACUUGAUCAAGAUGACUGGAAGAUAGUUGUUGCUCUUAUGGGAAGCUACAUAGGUUUGCUUCCUAAGUCAUUUUUCUUUGACAAAAACAUUUCAGGUAUUUGCGGUGAUGUUUAUUUUUGAAAGUGUGUCGACUUCACUUCAUUAAUUGUUUGAUCAUUUAAUUGUCCUUUUUACUAUGUUCUCUAUGUUUGACGUUGUACCUAAAAUAUGAAUAUACUUAAGCUUCAUGCUUUGAUGAAAUUCAAAUCGUGUGAUAGGCUGUUUAGAAAUCAUUAUAUAUGUUGUUUUACAUCCAUCAAAUAAUACCUACCCAAUGACCAUAUGGUGUCUCAAAUUUACAAGCAACUUU